UGCCUCUUUGAGGACUUGAAAAGAGAUUUGUUUUAUUUUUGUUUUUUUUUCUUUGAGAACCAAGGGUCCACCUAAAGUCGAAAUGAUCAAAUGGCUUGGUUUUGGAUGAAAAACGGUUGGUUAUUGGUUAGGGUUUCACCCUAGGUUUUAUGUAGAAAAAGGUUAACCAUUAACCGGGUUCUACCCUGGGUUUGUGUAAAAGAGGUUGANNNNN
rnacentral:lncRNA from 1 species